GCUACCGUGGACCGUGGUGGUCGCCCUCCCACGUUAAGAUGCGGAGCUUCAAAUGACAGAGGGAAUCGGAGGUUCGAUUCCUCCCGGUGGCG